CAACAGGGAUUGCCUCAGUAACUGCGAGUGAAGCGGCAAAAGCUCAAAUUUGAUAUCUGGCGCCUUCGGCGUCCGAGUUGUAAUUUGGAGGGGCAUCUUCGGGUUUGGCGCCGUCCUAAGUUCCUUGGAACAGGACGUCACAGAGGGUGAGAAUCCCGUGCCUGGGCGGCAGUCCAAAUCCAUGUGAAGUGUCUCCGACGAGUCGAGUUGUUUGGGAAUGCAGCUCAAAAUGGGUGGUAAAUUUCAUCUAAAGCUAAAUAUUGGCGAGAGACCGAUAGCGCACAAGUAGAGUGAUCGAAAGAUGAAAAGCACUUUGAAAAGAGAGUUAAAAAGUACGUGAAAUUGUUGAAAGGGAAGCGCUUGCGACCAGACUCGGUCUUUGGGGGUCAUCCGGGUUUCGGCUCGGUGCCAUCCCCAUUGAUCGGGCCAGCAUCGGUUCCGGCGGCGGGAUAAAAGGCGAGGGAAUGUGGCUCUCUUCGGGGAGUGUUAUAGCCCUCGUCACAAUGCCGCCAGCUGGGACCGAGGACCGCGCUUCGGCUAGGAUGCUGGCGUAAUGGUCUUAAGCGA
rnacentral:rRNA from 1 species